rnacentral:tRNA from 1 species
AAGGCUAUAGCUCAGUGGUAGAGCGCAUGCUUAGCAUUCACAAGGUCCUGGGUUCAAUCCCCAGUACCUCCA